GGACCAUCCUCCAAGCCUAAGUACUCCUACAUGACCGAUAGUGAACCAGUACCGUGAGGGAAAGGUGAAAAGCACCCCGACGAGGGGAGUGAAACAGACCCUGAAACUGGACGCCUACAAUCAGUCGGAGGGCGCAAGCCUGACGGCGUACCUUUUGUAUAAUGGGUCAGCGACUUUGUCUCUCGAGCAAGCUUAAACCGUUAGGUGUAGGCGUAGCGAAAGCGAGUCUGAAUAGGGCGACUGAGUUCGAGGGAUAAGACCCGAAGCCGGGUGAUCUAGCCAUGUGCAGGUUGAAGGUGCGGUAACACGCACUGGAGGACCGAACCCACGUAUGUUGAAAAAUGCGGGGAUGACGUGUGGCUAGGGGUGAAAGGCCAAUCAAACCCGGAAAUAGCUGGUUUUCCGCGAAAUCUAUUUAGGUAGAGCGUCUCGCGAAUACCCUCGGGGGUAGAGCACUGGAUGGGCUAGGGGGUCCCAACGACUUACCAAACCUAACCAAACUCCGAAUACCGAGGAGUAAUACGAGGCAGACACACUGCGGGUGCUAAGGUCCGUAGUGGAGAGGGAAACAGCCCUGACCGCCAGCUAAGGUCCCUAAGUUAUCACUAAGUGGGAAACGAUGUGGGAGUGCUUAGACAACCAGGAGGUUGGCUUAGAAGCAGCCAUCCUUUAAAGAAAGCGUAACAGCUCACUGGCCGAGUUAAAAAGUACUGAAAAUAUAACGGGGCUCAAAAAAAUUUACCGAAACUGCGAAAAUAUUAAAUAUUUGGUAGCGGAACGUUCUGUUUUUUUUAAUAUGUUUGUAAGAAUAAGUUAUUAAUCAGAAGCGAUAAUGCUGACAUGAGUAACGAAAAAUUAUGUGAAAAACAUAAUCGCCAACAGUCUAAGGGUUUCUGCGCUCCGUAAAUCGUCGCAGAUUGAAAAGCGGCCCCUAAAAUAUGUUUAGAAAUGAAUAAUUGAUGGGAAUUAAACAAGUGACCGAAAGCAUUUAACAAAUUAAAUUUUAGGAUAAAAAAAUUGGUAAAUGUUUGUUUGCAGGAAAAACUUGUUUUUUAAAAUACCGUACUUUAAACCGACACUGGUAGACUUGUGGAAUACACAACAGGCGUUGAAUUAAUCACAUUGAAGGAACUCGGCAAAAUUCCUCCAUAACUUAGGAAAAAGGAGGCUAGAAUAAUAAAAAUUCUGGGGCACAAAAAUGAGAGGAACAACUGUUUAAUAAAAACACAGGGCUCUGCAAAGUUGUAAAAUGAAGUAUUGAGUCUGACGCCUGCCCAGUGUUGGAAGGCUAAAAUGAUAUGUGGUAUGCAUAAACUAUAACCCCCAAUAAACGGCAGCCGUAACUCUAACGGUUCUAAGGUAGCAAAAUUCUUUGUCGGGUAAGUUCCGACCUGCAUGAAUGGCGUCAUGAUUCCUCUGCUGUCUCCAAUGUGAAUUCAGUGAAAUUGAAUUUCCCGUGAAGAUGCGGGAUUAUUUCUGCUAGACGGUAAGACCCUCUGCACUUUGACUUUAACUUUUUAGUGAAAAAUUUAAUAUUUUGUGCAGUUAUAGGUGGGAGCUAUUUGAACCAAUACGCCAGUAUUUUGUACAAGCAAUCUUGAGAUACCACCGUUAAUUUUAAAUUUUUCUAAUCGAUAUGAAACACUGAAAAGCUGGUAGUUUGACUGGGGCGGUCGCCUCCUAAAUUGUAACGGAGGCGUGCGAAGGU
rnacentral:rRNA from 1 species